UACGUAGGGUCCGAGCGUUGUCCGGGAAUUAUUGGGCGUAAAGGGCUCGUAGGCGGUCCGUCACGUCGGGAGUGAAAACUCAGGGCUCAACCCUGAGCGUGCUUCCGAUACGGGCGGACUAGAGGUAUGCAGGGGAGAACGGAAUUCCUGGUGUAGCGGUGGAAUGCGCAGAUAUCAGGAGGAACACCGAUGGCGAAGGCAGGUCUCUGGGCAUUAACUGACGCUGAGGAGCGGAAAAGCAUGGGGGAGCGAACAGG
rnacentral:rRNA from 1 species